AUACUUACCUGGUGGAAGAGACACUAUAAUCAUGAAGGCUGUUUUCCCAGGGCAAGGCUCAUCCAUUGCUCUUCAGAUGUGCUGACUUCUGUAUCCCAAAUGAGGGAAACUAGCCUUCGUAAUUUAUUGUAGUGAGAGACUGCACUCAUGCUCUCCCCAA
ensembl:snRNA U1 U1 spliceosomal RNA